rnacentral:lncRNA from 1 species
UGGAUCAGAUGAUAAAAAUAUUCAUCGAUGUUUGUGUCUUGAAUUUGAACUGAUUCUAUGAAUGAUCACAGAGUAUUGAUUAUAUGGAUCCAAUAUCAGGUUCACGAGUUCCAAUUUCACCCAAACUACACAUAUAUCAGGCAAAAAUUUUACAUCAGAAAAAAGUCUGAAAUUUUCUAUUACCAUUUCAGAUCAGAAUCCAUACAGUUUCAUUCCCUAUCUUAUUAAUCAUAUUCAAACCAAAAUAAAUAAAUAGAAAUAUAUUUUGACAAGAACUUGCAAGCAUAUAUAAAUGUUUUGUAUCAGUUGCUAGGACAAAGUGGUUCCAAUUUUAUAAUUCCAAUUGGAAAGUAAUAAGUCUAGCUAAUAAGUGUAGUAGUAAUUUAAGCUAUGAGACAAGAGUGUAAUCAAUGAUUAAGCAACAUAACUAAGCUAUUUUCAAACAGGUCAACAUACACAAACGAGAACAAACAAAUCAAAUCCAGAUCCAUCAAAAUAAGAAAGCAAAAUCUAAAAACAGAAGGCGAAUAUCUCUGUUUUAUCCAAAUAUAAACGCUGUACAUUCAACAUACUUGUGUGACUCCACGAACCGACUCGCCGGAAUUGCGUGUUGCCGCCGUGUAAGGAUUUGGAAGCAGAAGGUGGCGAUGGAGGUAAAAAUGUUUCCGGUUCGUCGACUCAUCUGCGACCGGUCCAAAUCGGGCCGGUUCAUAGCGGCGCCGCCGUGUUAGGCGGUGAAGUAGAAGAUAGGUUGAAGAAGAAGGUAGAGGAAGAUGAAGCAAGUGCUUGACGCUGCUAAGAACACCAAUCCGUACAGAGUUCGAACCGCCAUUGAAGAAGAUUCUGGAGUUGAUAGGAAAGAGAUUUGAGAUUUAGAUCUGGAAAGUAGUGGUGGGGAAGUUCGAUUUUAAAUAAGAGACUGUAAAAGCUUCCUGAUUUGAAAUUUGAAUGUGAAAAAGGACUUAAAAGGGAAAAUGGAUAAGGCUAUAGCAAAAUAUAAUAAUUUUAAAGAAGAAUGAAGAUAAGGUUAAAGGUCUAUAGCAAUAACAAUUUACAAUAUUUUAAUCUAUUAAUUU